rnacentral:lncRNA from 1 species
UCUUGAAAAUGUUAAAAAAGAGAGAGAGAAAGGGGGCCCAUGCUGGCUCUCGACGUUCCUGCUCAGAAAACUUUGGAUAAGGAAAUGCGUAAAAUGUCAAUUUCCAAGUUAUAUUCUUUAGGCAAAGAGAAAUAAAAUAAAAUAAAAGUUCUUCAGUAAAACAAUCUGUAUAUGAGUGGACACACCCUUUACACUAGCAUUUUCCAAACAGUGUGCCACGGCAAGUUUGUGGGGUGUCAUGAGAGUUUCAUCAAAUGAAGAAUAAUUAUGUGCAUAAAAAAAAAUAUAUUAAAAAAAAUAUUGCAUAUAGCAACAAAUCAAGAUGAAGAUAUUUCUUGACUAUGUUGUAUACUGUUGCCUGAGCCAAGAACAGCUUUUGCCACUGACCAUUGUUCUUAUGGAUUUUCAACUGCUACAAGACACCACGUUUUGCUUAUCAUGUUUAAGAAACCUGGUAAAGAUUUCGACAGUCUUCCUAUGGAUAGUCUGAAUGGUGGAGCAAACGCUUGGAAAUACAAACUUCAAUAUUAGUGGUUAUAGAUUUUAGGUUUGAAAAGCGUGAUAUAACUUUUUAUUAUUAUUUUAAAUAUUUUGCUUGUAGUUAUUCAUAAACUUGUGGAAAGAAUUACAUGAUGAGGUCUUAUGCAUUGUUAGUUUAAAUCCUAUUUCUUUUGAAUAGAUAUACGUGAAUGGCUAUAUUUGAAUUUAAUUAACUUUUGUUUUGCUAUUUUUCUGAGCGAAGGUUGAUUAUAAUGUUUUGUAUGGUUUUCUGUGCUUUAGACCAUUCAUUAAUAUCAGGAACUUGAUCAUAUAGCAACUAAAGAAAAGAUUUAGGUUAUAUGAAAAUGCUGUCAGUGUAACAUUUACUCAUUAGGAUAAUUAUAAAGGGCAAGACAAUAUCUUUGCAACAACCUGCAGUGUACUCUCCAUGAAUAUGGGUUAUUUGGAAAAGUGUAUGGGAAUUUGACAACAGUACAUUAUUCCAAAGAAUCUCAAUACUACUUAGCUUGAAGUAAAGCCCACCAGCACUGAAUCUCGAUGUUUUGGUUUUAUGUGACAAACUCUGUUUCACUUAGUUUUGAAUAAUGGUCAAAUAUAUGUACAAAAGCAGACAAGCAAGUAAUUUUUCUUUAUUGUAAUGUGCUAACCAAAGGGGUUUCCUGGGAGUGUUAUGGUAUGGAAUGCAAUUUGUAUUCUAGAUCUAGGACUUAUCCGUGAUAUGUCUAUACACUUACAUGUCCAUGGAUAUCAAGAAAAACUUAAAAAUACAGGCAACUCAUAUUUGGUUUUAAAGUAACAAUAUAAACAUCAUGAGAAAAAGAAGAAACAAACUAAAUGUCUGGAUACUUUUAAUGGGACAGUGUAUGCACAUGAUGAUAAGUGUAAAAAACUGUCCAAACUGCACACUGAAUGUGUAAAUAAAAUGUAUCCUUACCAGAAUAUAUAUCAGAAAAGCCUUUAAUCAAAAUUUAAUGCUGUAUAAAAUAUCCAAAAUUACAAUGAUAUUUUUGCCAAUAACAAAAAUUGUGCAAAUUUCUGUCGAAAUGUCAAAGAAAUGAUUUAAAAAAUUAAAACUGUUAAUAUGUAGAAAACAUUUCUAGGCAAUUA